rnacentral:rRNA from 1 species
AGGGGUAACAGGGAGCUUGCUCCGCUGACGACCGGCGCACGGGUGCGUAACGCGUAUGCAACCUACCUUUUACAGGGGAAUAGCCCAGAGAAAUUUGGAUUAAUGCCCCAUAGUGACCCUUGGUCGAUUGGCCUGGGGGUCUAAAGAUUUAUCGGUAAAAGAUGGGCAUGCGUUCUAUUAGCUAGAUGGUGUGGUAACGGCACACCAUGGCUACGAUAGAUAGGGGCCCUGAGAGGGGGAUCCCCCACACUGGUACUGAGACACGGACCAGACUCCUACGGGAGGCAGCAGUGAGGAAUAUUGGACAAUGGAGGCAACUCUGAUCCAGCCAUGCCGCGUGCAGGAAGACGGCCCUAUGGGUUGUAAACUGCUUUUAUACGGGAAGAAACCCGCCCACGUGUGGGCGGCUGACGGUACCGUAAGAAUAAGGAUCGGCUAACUCCGUGCCAGCAGCCGCGGUAAUACGGAGGAUCCAAGCGUUAUCCGGAAUCAUUGGGUUUAAAGGGUCCGUAGGUGGAUUGUUAAGUCAGGGGUGAAAGUCUGCGGCUCAACCGUAGAAUUGCCCUUGAUACUGGCGAUCUUGAGUUAUUGUGAAGUAGCUAGAAUAUGUAGUGUAGCGGUGAAAUGCAUAGAUAUUACAUAGAAUACCGAUUGCGAAGGCAGGUUACUAACAAUGUACUGACACUGAUGGACGAAAGCGUGGGUAGCGAACAGGAUUAGAUACCCUGGUAGUCCACGCCGUAAACGAUGGUCACUAGCUGUCCGGACUUAGGUCUGGGUGGCUAAGCGAAAGUGAUAAGUGACCCACCUGGGGAGUACGUUCGCAAGAAUGAAACUCAA